rnacentral:rRNA from 1 species
UACGGAGGAUGCAAGCGUUAUCCGGAAUGAUUGGGCGUAAAGCGUCCGCAGGUGGCUGUGUAAGUCUGCUGUCAAAGAGCAAAGCUCAACUUUGUAAAGGCAGCGGAAACUACACGGCUAGAGUGCGUUCGGGGCAGAGGGAAUUCCUGGUGUAGCGGUGAAAUGCGUAGAGAUCAGGAAGAACACCGGUGGCGAAGGCGCUCUGCUAGGCCGCAACUGACACUGAGGGACGAAAGCGAGGGGAGCGAAUGGG